GCAGUGGGUGGGGCCAGGCGGAAAAAUGUCACCUUAAACUGCAUUUCCGGUCCUCACUGGAGGCCUGAGCUCCGCGGCACCAGCACGGCUGCCCGUAGCCCUGCACUGGUGGGGCUAGCCCCCGGAGCAGAGUUGGCGACCUUGCUACGACCUUGCUACGAGGGACGCGCCCAGCCUGGCAAGAGCCACUGCACAAUCCUGAGGCGACGGGAGGAAGUCGGCUGGGGGCGAGGCCGGCGAGACCCAGACCUCGGGUUUGAGCAGCAGCCUGCAAGAGACUUUGCGCCUUCUGGGUUCAGUAGUAGAGUUUCCAUACUUCCACUUCCUAAUCUGCAACAACAAAAAAAGGAUCAGCCAAGAACCUAUCAUUCCAAUUUCAUUCAGUCCUGGGUUGUGAUACCCAUGAUAAGAAUCUAUCAGGGCCAAGAUCCGUUUUCCCAGAUGUGAGAAUUGACCAUCCCAGUAACCAAGACACCCUCCUCUAUGCUCAGGAGACCCAGGUUUCUGUGCUACACAAGUGAGCAACCUGAAAGCCAGGAAAUGGUGAGUGUUCAUUCACUGGCAUUUUGAGACGGGGCAG